UACAGAGGUCUCAAGCGUUGUUCGGAUUCAUUGGGCGUAAAGGGUGCGUAGGCGGCGCGGUAAGUCGGGUGUGAAAUCUCGGAGCUUAACUCCGAAACUGCAUUCGAUACUGCGGUGCUUGAGGACUGGAGAGGAGACUGGAAUUUACGGUGUAGCGGUGAAAUGCGUAGAUAUCGUAAGGAAGACCAGUGGCGAAGGCGGGUCUCUGGACAGUUCCUGACGCUGAGGCACGAAGGUCAGGGGAGCAAACGGG
rnacentral:rRNA from 1 species